rnacentral:rRNA from 1 species
UACAGAGGUCCCAAGCGUUGUUCGGAUUCAUUGGGCGUAAAGGGUGCGUAGGCGGCGCGGUAAGUCGGGUGUGAAAUCUCGGGGCUUAACUCCGAAACUGCAUUCGAUACUGCCGUGCUUGAGGACUGGAGGGGAGACUGGAAUUUACGGUGUAGCGGUGAAAUGCGUAGAUAUCGUAAGGAAGACCAGUGGCGAAGGCGGGUCUCUGGACAGUUCCUGACGCUGAGGCACGAAGGCUAGGGGAGCAAACGGG